ACUCACCUGCCGAAUCAACUAGCCCUGAAAAUGGAUGGCGCUUAAGCGAGAGACCUAUACUCCGCCGUUGCGGCAUGUGCGUUGUCUAGCGCCAGGCCGUAACGAGUAGGAAGGUCGUGGCGGUUGCUUUGAAGGCUAUGAGCGUGGGCUCGGCUGGAGCUUCCGUCAGUGCAGAUCGUAAUGGUAGUAGCAAAUAUUCAAGUUCGAUCCUUGAAGACUGAAGUGGAGAAGGGUUCCACGUGAACAGUAGUUGGAUGUGGGUCAGUCGAUCCUAAGGUACUGGCGAACGCCUUGUAUCAUCGGUGGCGAAAAGCUUGCUUUUGGUCCCCGUUUGUCGAAAGGGAAUAGGGUUAAUAUUCCCUAACUGAGAUGCAAAGAUUGUGUUCUUCGGAGCACAAGCGCGGUAACGCAUUCGAACUUGGUUAGUCGCUCAAAGACCGAGCUAGAGUUUUCUUCUCUAGUUAAGGAACGGACUCCCUGGAAUUGGUUCAGCCAGAGAUGGGGACGUUGUUUCCGAAAAGCACCGCGGUUUCUGUGGUGUCUCGUGCUCUUUGAACGGCCCUUAAAACACCAAGGGAGGCUAUUAAUUUGCACUCAAUCGUACCGAUAUCCGCAUUAGGUCUCCAAGGUGAACAGCCUCUAGUCGAUAGAAUAAUGUAGGUAAGGGAAGUCGGCAAACUAGAUCCGUAACUUCGGGAAAAGGAUUGGCUCCAGUGGUUGGAACGAUUGGCCAGUUGGUUGAUGCUUGUCCGGCGCUAUUCUGUCUGCUUGAUGCUUUCGGGCUGAUGGCGGACUAGUGAUAGUGCUUGCUUGUGGACGCUUUCUGGUGUGUGCUAGGACCUCGGUUCUAGUAUCCUGAUCGCUCAUCUAAACAACCGUACUGGAACCGGUACGGACUCAGGGAAUCCGACUGUCUAAUUAAAACAGAGGUGACAGAUGGUCCUUGCGGACGCUGACUGUCACUGAUUUCUGCCCAGUGCUCUGAAUGUUAAAUCGUAGUAAUUCGAGUAAGCGCGGGUAAACGGCGGGAGUAACUAUGACUCUCUUAAGGUAGCCAAAUGCCUCGUCAUUUAAUUGUUGACGCGCAUGAAUGGAUUAACGAGAUUCCUACUGUCCCUAACUACUAUCUAGCGAAACCACAGCCAAGGGAACGGGCUUGGCAAAAAUAGCGGGGAAAGAAGACCCUGUUGAGCUUGACUCUAGUUUGACAUUGUGAAGAGUCAUGAGAGGUGUAGCAUAGGUGGGAGACUUCGGUCGCCGGUGAAAUACCACCACUUUCAUCGACUCUUUACUUAUUCGGUUAAAAGAGAAUUGGCUUCACGGCCUUUUUUCGAAGCAUUAAGCGGAGCCAUUUUAUGGCACCGUGACUCUCCUCGAAGACAGUGUCAAGCGGGGAGUUUGACUGGGGCGGUACAUCUAUCAAAUCGUAACGUAGGUGUCCUAAGGCGAGCUCAGAGAGGACGGAAACCUCUCGUAGAGCAAAAGGGCAAAAGCUUGCUUGAUCUUGACUUUCAGUACGAGUACAGACCGCGAAAGCGUGGCCUAUCGAUCCUUUUAAUCCUGAUUGUUUCAGGUAAGAGGUGUCAGAAAAGUUACCACAGGGAUAACUGGCUUGUGGCAGCCAAGCGUCCAUAGCGACGUUGCUUUUUGAUCCUUCGAUGUCGGCUCUUCCUAUCAUUGCGAAGCAGAAUUCGCCAAGCGUUGGAUUGUUCACCCACUAAUAGGGAACGUGAGCUGGGUUUAGACCGUCGUGAGACAGGUUAGUUUUACCCUACUGUUGACUUGUUAUUGCGAAAGUAAUCCUGCUUAGUACGAGAGGAACAGCGGGUUCAAACAUUUGGUUCAUAGACUUGAUCGACAGAUCAAUGGUCUGAAGCUACCAUUUGAGAGAUUAUAACUGAACGCCUCUAAGUUAGAAUCUCGCCUUGUCAAGGCGAAAAUUUCUUGCUUCCCGGUGUCGGGAGGCAUCUCUAUCUCGUGGCAACACGAGAGCUUAUGCCCUAUGUAUGGCCUUGGCUUCGUAGUGAACUCUGCGAAGCUUGCCAACGCCAGAUCACUCUGGUUCAAUGUCGGGGCGCUAAAUCACUUGCAUACGACUUGGUCUCUUGGUCAAGGUGUUGUAUUCAGUAGAGCAGUCCUCUUAUACUGCGAUCUGUUGAGACUAUCCUUUGAUUGAGUUUUUUGUUUCUUU
rnacentral:rRNA from 2 species